GAUCAUGGCUCAGGAUGAACGCUAGCGACAGGCCUAACACAUGCAAGUCGAGGGGCAACAUGGUAUCAGCUUGCUGAUACCGAUGGCGACCGGCGCACGGGUGAGUAACGCGUAUGUAAUCUACCUGUAACAGAGGGAUAACCCGGAGAAAUCCGGACUAAUACCUCAUAGCACAUAUUAUUCGCACGAAUUUUAUGUUAAAGAGACUCGGUUACAGAUGAACAUGCG
rnacentral:rRNA from 1 species